ACCGGCACAAGGCUCAGUAACACGUUGAUACUCUACCCUUAAGUCUGGGAUAACCUUGGGAAACUGAGGCUAAACCCGGAUAGAAGAUUGAUACUGGAAUGUACUUUCUUCAAAAAGCAAUGCUUAAGGAUGAGUCAGUGGCUGAUUAGGUAGUUGGUGAGGUAAUGGCUCACCAAGCCUGAGAUCAGUAGGGGGGAUGAGAGUCCUAGCCCCGAGAAGGGCACUGAGAUACUGGCCCUAGCACUAAGGUGUGCAGCAGGCGCGAAAACUUUACAAUGCGCGAAAGUGUGAUAAGGGUAUCCCAAGUGCUAUACUUAGUAUAGCUUUUGCCAAGUGUAAAUAGCUUGGAGAAUAAGUGGUGGGUAAUACCGGUGCCAGCAGCCGCGGUAACACCGGAGCCACAAGUGGUGACCAUUUUUAUUGGGUCUAAAGCGUCUGUAGCAGGUUGUGUAAAUCUCUUGUGAAAUUGUUGCGCUUAACGUAACAGCGAGCGAGAGAGACUGCAUAGCUAGGAACCGGGAGGGGGCAGAGGUACUUCAUGGGGAGCGGUAAAAUGCUAUAAUCCACGAAGGACCACCUGUGGCGAAGGCGUCUGCCUAGAACGGGUUCGACUGUGAAGGACGAAAGCUGAGGGAGCGAUCGGGAUUAGAUA
rnacentral:rRNA from 1 species